AACGGCCUCCAUCUCAGAAAAAAAUUCACCAUCAGAGAAGUCUUUUUCUCCAGAUGAAUAAGUUAAAAAUUUCUUCAUUUCUUCAGCCAAAAGUGCUUUUGGCUGAUAAUUUCCAUUUUUCUCCCCCAAAAAUCGUUCUUCCCUCUGGUUCUUUGCCUGACAUAUCAAGUUCUUUGCCUUUGUUUCUUUUCCUCUGGUUCUUUGUUCCUCUUCCGCCGGUGAGUUUCUUUUCUUCUUUUUCUCUUUAAUUAUUCAUUAUGCUUUGUUUUUAGUUUUUUUCUGAUUGUUUAGGGUUUAGCUAAAAUUUUACAGAAAUUUUACAUUCUUCUAUAGGGAAUACUGUCAAUUGAAAUGGGUCAAAAAGCUAUAUUAUCAUUUGAUUCUUAUGAAAGAUCUUUGAUUGAGGUAAAUAUUCUGUUCUCUGUUUUGU
rnacentral:lncRNA from 1 species